rnacentral:rRNA from 1 species
GAUGAACGCUGGCGGCAUGCCUAACACAUGCAAGUCGAACGAGAUCUUCGGGUCUAGUGGCGCACGGGUGCGUAACGCGUGGGAAUCUGCCCUUUGGUUCGGAAUAACAGUUGGAAACGACUGCUAAUACCGGAUGAUGACGAAAGUCCAAAGAUUUAUCGCCAGAGGAUGAGCCCGCGUAGGAUUAGCUAGUUGGUGUGGUAAAGGCGCACCAAGGCGACGAUCCUUAGCUGGUCUGAGAGGAUGAUCAGCCACACUGGGACUGGGACACGGCCCAGACUCCUACGGGAGGCAGCAGUGGGGAAUAUUGGACAAUGGGCGAAAGCCUGAUCCAGCAAUGCCGCGUGAGUGAUGAAGGCCUUAGGGUUGUAAAGCUCUUUUACCCGGGAUGAUAAUGACAGUACCGGGAGAAUAAGCUCCGGCUAACUCCGUGCCAGCCGCCGCCGUAA